rnacentral:rRNA from 1 species
GACGAACGCUGGCGGCGUGCCUAAUACAUGCAAGUCGAACGCUUCUUUCCUCCCGAGUGCUUGCACUCAGUUGGAAAGAGGAGUGGCGGACGGGUGAGUAACACGUGGGUAACCUACCCAUCAGAGGGGGAUAACACUUGGAAACAGGUGCUAAUACCGCAUAACAGUUUAUGCCGCAUGGCACAAGAGUGAAAGGCGCUUUCGGGUGUCGCUGAUGGAUGGACCCGCGGUGCAUUAGCUAGUUGGUGAGGUAACGGCUCACCAAGGCCACGAUGCAUAGCCGACCUGAGAGGGUGAUCGGCCACACUGGGACUGAGACACGGCCCAGACUCCUACGGGAGGCAGCAGGAGGGAAUCUUCGGCAAUGGACGGAAGUCUGACCGAGCAACGCCGCGUGAGUGAAGAAGGUUUUCGGAUCGUAAAACUCUGUUGUUAGAGAAGAACAAGGACGUUAGUAACUGAACGUCCCCUGACGGUAUCUAACCAGAAAGCCACGGCUAACUACGUGCCAGCAGCCGCCGUAA